CAUCAGACAGUGAGCCCAGGAGCAGAAGCUGUAGCCUGUACAGAGAGCAGGAGGCCCUGAUGUAGAUCCUGAGCUACCAUGGGUCAGAAGUCCCCAUUAUAGAUGAGAAAGAGAAGCGUGGAGGUAGAGAAAAGGCCAGGUAGAGGUUGAGGAUGUGAGCAGGUAGCAGGGGACAAGGCAGAAAAAGAUGCAGGUGCUUGAAGGGUAGCUAAGCCACAUAGAUGUGUCAACAUAAGAACAUCCAAACCUACAGAAAAAUGGUAUAAGAGUUUAUUAAAGCCAAAAUGAGGACAUGCCUGGAAGCAAGAUCUUAUCAGUUUAUAGUAAAGGAAACAGAAGCCAAUGGCAGAGAAGUCACUUGACCAAAGUCACCCAGCUGAUAUUCUGCUGGGUGCUACAAGACAGCAGAGGUGACACAAACAUAUUUCCUGCCCUCUGGGGAUCUCACAUUAUAGUUGGGAGAUAGGAUAGAUGCACAUAGAUGAUAAAAGGCUAUGUCCGAUUUAUGCCAAAUGCAUGGCACACACAGUAAAGGCAAUAGAAGUCCAGAGUGAGGAGUGACACUGUGUGGGAUGAAGAAGGACUUCAUGGAGGAGACAAGGAUAGAGAAGUUGGAGAGAACUCAGAAGUCCUUCCAAGCUAAUAACAGGGCAGAAAGUAACAUUUUGAAGGAGAUAAAGAGAACUGGGAUUAUUCAACCUGAAGAAGAAAGGUGGCUCAAAGGGUCAGAAGCAGAGUGAUCCCAGCCUGGCAAUUUAAGGAAUUUUCAGGCGGCAUUCAUUCUCAGGUAUCAACUCAGGCUUGCAGGAGCCUCUGAGUGGGCACUUUACUUGCUCCACUCAUCUCAGGCCUGUCCUGCUCUUGAGCAAUUUGUAAUCUCAGGUGCAGACUCACUCAGUUUAACAUACCCUGGAGAGGACUUUCAAGGAUCUCAGAAUCUACUGGGUGAGUCAGAAAAAUAAACAGGCAUAGACUGCACAAUGUGAUAAUCAGAAAUGGAGAUAAAGACCCAGAGGUGGCAUCUAAUCUAGACUGGUGGGAUAGAGUGGAAGGCCAAAGGGAUGACAGCAGAGCAGAGUUUGAAGGAUUAACCUGUAGGAGAUAACCAACAUCACAGACUCUCCUAUAAUGGCAUCACAGCCUAGUUAAUCCAUCAGGAGGACAAUUUGGCCUAGGCCCACUCCCAGAUCCUAUGAUUGUGCCUGUAGGACAACAACCACCUCUACAGAAAGUGAAAAGCCCACCAGAUGCUUCCAAGGCUCAGAGGGCUGGUGUCACAGAGGCACUGGCCCACAUUAGUCAGCACAAGGCAGGCCCAUGGGAGCCUGGUAAUGUCCCCAUUGACAGGCAGAUCUCACCAACCACCCUAUAGCCAGGCCACUAGCAUCUUGCUCCUUGGGGAGUGAAGGCACUGAGAUCAUGAAUCAUGCCAUCCCCCAAUUACUUUGAAU